UUCCGGUUGAUCCUGCCGGACCUGACUGCUAUCGGAUUGAUACUAAGCCAUGCGAGUCAUUGUAGCAACACAAGGCAGACGGCUCAGUAACGCGUAGUCAACCUACCCUAUGGACGGGAAUAACCACGGGAAACUGAGUAUAAUGCCCGAUAGAACACUAUACCUGGAAUGGUUUGUGUUCCAAAUGAUUUAUCGCCGUAGGAUGGGACUGCGGCCUAUCAGUUUGUUGGUGAGGUAAUGGCCCACCAAGACUAUUACAGGUACGGGCUCUGAGAGGAGUGGCCCGGAGAUGGGUACUGAGACACGGACCCAGGCCCUAUGGGGCGCAGCAGGCGAGAAAACUUUGCAAUGUGCGAAAGCACGACAAGGUUAAUCCGAGUGGUUUGUGCUGAACGAACCUUUUGUCAGUCCUAGAAACACUAACGAAUAAGGGGUGGGCAAGUUCUGGUGUCAGCCGCCGCGGUAAAACCAGCACCUCAAGUAGUCAGGAUGAUUAUUGGGCCUAAAGCAUCCGUAGCCGGCUCUGUAAGUUUUCGGUUAAAUCUGUACGCUUAACGUACAGGCUGCCGGGGAUACUGCAGAGCUAGGGAGUGGGAGAGGUAGACGGUACUCGGUAGGAAGGGGUAAAAUCCUUUGAUCUAUUGAUGACCACCUGUGGCGAAGGCGGUCUACCAGAACACGUCCGACGGUGAGGGAUGAAAGCUGGGGGAGCAAACCGGAUUAGAUACCCGGGUAGUCCCAGCUGUAAACUAUGCAAACUCAGUGAUGCAUUGGCUUGUGGCCAAUGCAGUGCUGCAGGGAAGCCGUUAAGUUUGCCGCCUGGGAAGUACGUACGCAAGUAUGAAACUUAAAGGAAUUGGCGGGGG
rnacentral:rRNA from 1 species